UACGUAGGGGGCUAGCGUUGUCCGGAAUCAUUGGGCGUAAAGCGCGUGUAGGCGGUUCGGUAAGUCCGCUGUGAAAGUCGGGGGCUCAACCCUCGGAAGCCGGUGGAUACUGUCGAGCUAGAGUACGGAAGAGGCGAGUGGAAUUCCUGGUGUAGCGGUGAAAUGCGCAGAUAUCAGGAGGAACACCAAUUGCGAAGGCAGCUCGCUGGGACGUUACUGACGCUGAGGCGCGAAAGCUAGGGGAGCAAACGGG
rnacentral:rRNA from 1 species